UACAGAGGUGGCAAGCGUUGUUCGGAAUUACUGGGCGUAAAGGGCGAGUAGGCGGCCUUCUAAGUCAGACGUGAAAUCCCCCGGCUUAACCUGGGAACUGCGUCUGAUACUGGGAGGCUUGAGUAUGGGAGAGGGAUGUAGAAUUCCAGGUGUAGCGGUGAAAUGCGUAGAUAUCUGGAGGAAUACCGGUGGCGAAGGCGGCAUCCUGGACCAUUACUGACGCUGAAUCGACGAAAGCUAGGGGAGCAAACGGG
rnacentral:rRNA from 1 species